UUUACUGAUUUAGAUAUUUUCGACACUUGGGAACUGUGAAGAUGUGAUAGUUCACUGUGGUCUUAGAGUAAGUUGAAUUAAAGUGUUUGUGUAGUUGAAAACUGAUGGCUUUGAGUGUUGAUGUACACUUGGUGAUAAUGAUGGUCUUCCCAACUCACUAAAGCCCAAUGAUACUAAUUUGAUAAUCCUAUCCCAUGGAAAAGAUAAAAGCCAAGCUUGUGUGAUUUAGUAUGGUAGACUUGGAACUUGGUUGAAUGUUACAGUGUGCUAAGACCACAGACUACAGUAUAAGCAAUCUGAAGUCAGCAUUUCCAGGAACCUCACUGUAAAAUUUCCGAACUAUUAAGUGCCACACAGUUCACAGCUUAGUAUGGAAUUAAGAUGGACACUGUGAGGCUCUAUUGCCUGCCACGAGGAAAUUCAGCUGGAAGAAAGUUACCUCCACCACCAAGUCAAGAUGACACCGUCGAUGAUACGCCCUUCAAAGGGAUCAGCCACCUUCCAAGUCCCGUUGUCAACCGGAACUACAUCCAGAUGAGCAGCCAUCCUGUAAGGAGGUAGGACUUUUUCAGCUUUAUUGUCGUUACUCCCUCGUAUUUCGUAAAGUAAGCUGUAUGCGUUGAUGGCUUUUAU